CAAUAGCGUAUAUUAAAGUUGUUGCGGUAAAAAAGCUCGUAGUUGGAUUUCUACCGAAGAUAGCCGGUCGGGCCUUCGACCUUGUAUCUGGUUUUGUCUUUGGUAUCCUCAUAGGGAACGUUUCUGCGCUUUAUUGCGUGGUGCGGUAUCUAUGACUUUUACUUUGAGGAAAUUAGAGUGUUCACGGCAGGCAAACGCCUUGAAUAUAUUAGCAUGGAAUAAUAACAUAGGAUCUUCGUCCUAUUUUGUUGGUUUCUAGGGCUAAGAUAAUGAUUAAUAGGGAUAAUUGGGGGCAUCUGUAUCAACGCGUCAGAGGUGGAAUUCUUGGAUUGCGUUGCGACAAACUACUGCGAAAGCACUUGCCAAGGAUGUUUUCAUUGA
rnacentral:rRNA from 1 species